UAAUACAUGCAAGUCGAGCGCGGGAAGCAAGCUGAUCCUCUUCGGAGGUGACGCUUGUGGAACGAGCGGCGGACGGGUGAGUAACACGUGGGCAACCUGCCUGUAAGACUGGGAUAACCCCGGGAAACCGGGGCUAAUACCGGAUAAUACUUUUCAUCACCUGAUGGAAAGUUGAAAGGUGGCUUCUUGCUACCACUUACAGAUGGGCCCGCGGCGCAUUAGCUAGUUGGUGAGGUAACGGCUCACCAAGGCAACGAUGCGUAGCCGACCUGAGAGGGUGAUCGGCCACACUGGGACUGAGACACGGCCCAGACUCCUACGGGAGGCAGCAGUAGGGAAUCUUCCGCAAUGGACGAAAGUCUGACGGAGCAACGCCGCGUGAGUGAUGAAGGUUUUCGGAUCGUAAAGCUCUGUUGUUAGGGAAGAACAAGUGCCGUUCGAAUAGGGCGGCACCUUGACGGUACCUAACCAGAAAGCCCCGGCUAACUACGUGCCAGCAGCCGCGGUAAUACGUAGGGGGCAAGCGUUGUCCGGAAUUAUUGGGCGUAAAGCGCGCGCAGGCGGUCCUUUAAGUCUGAUGUGAAAGCCCACGGCUUAACCGUGGAGGGUCAUUGGAAACUGGAGGACUUGAGUACAGAAGAGGAGAGUGGAAUUCCACGUGUAGCGGUGAAAUGCGUAGAGAUGUGGAGGAACACCAGUGGCGAAGGCGACUCUCUGGUCUGUAACUGACGCUGAGGCGCGAAAGCGUGGGGAGCGAACAGGAUUAGAUACCCUGGUAGUCCACGCCGUAAACGAUGAGU
rnacentral:rRNA from 1 species